GAAACACAUUUUAGGGCAUCCACGGAAUAGCUGGAUACAUCCCAUUGAAAUCUGCUGGUGGCAUAACUAUCACAGAGUGCCUUAAAGAUGAGGAAUCGGACUCAAACGAUGAUUCAGUCAGCAAGACAACUCGGGGCAGUCAGAAGAGUACUUUGUCAAACAAUAAACUAGCAGAAUCAUAACCAAAAGGGAUGCUGUCUUUUAUUUCCACCAAAUGAUUUGAAGAGCUAGACUCAAAGACAGCAGCCUACAUUGACGGAGACAGGCAUUUUAGCCUCUAUAUGGCAAAAUGAGAAUGAGACUGGCCAUGCAGUGAUGCAGAAAACAGAGUGGCCGACAGAGCUGCAGCCCCUUAAUCAGGUCUUCUUGGAAAGUGACGAUUCCGUUCAAGAGGGUUUGCCUGAUCAAAGCACACAUAUCUGGUAGGGCCGUGUCUUACAGCAUAAGCAUCGCUAUCGACAUCUCAGCUCGACCCAAGAACUAUAUGAUUGUAAAGCAUGUAAAAAGAGCCGGUCUUAAUCAGAUCUUAGCUUUUUGUUUUUCAGUUUAAGAGAAUACAAGUAAUCUUUAAAACUGAUGCACGUCUACCCCCACUGAACAGAAAACCAGCAUCGUAGCAUACCAUUUCCGAUUAACCGUUAAUCGCUCACCUCCAAAACUCCUCCAUUUGAAUGGCUUCAUUUUAAACAAAAGCGAUCUCCUUUUGAGAUCGACUAUGUUCUUAAUGACUACCCAGUUUGAGCGAGGAGAGAACCUCCCCAGCCAAGCCUCUAGCUUUACAAAUCGUCUAUUGAAUUUCUUUUGUUAAAUGUGAGAAGUCUUUGAAUUGGUAGUUUGCUCAAGAGAAGUAUUUUUUGUAGCUUCGUUAUUCAGCCGAUUUUUUCGUUGAAUUGUGAAAUGAUGAACUGAGACAUUAACCUCUUCGUGUAUAUUUUUCGUUUAUUUUUCCUGCUUUUCCUAACUUGGAAAAUUGACAGUUUUCGCAAGCCGGUCACUACAUUCCUUUCUUUACACAAAGAGAGCCUUUUGUCUCCGAUUGAAUAGGCAGUGUUUCAACUAAAUGUUGCAUUUCUGGCAAAAGUAUACAGUGUAUCAAUUUAUGCG